rnacentral:rRNA from 1 species
UACGUAGGGGGCAAGCGUUGUCCGGAAUCAUUGGGCGUAAAGAGCGUGUAGGCGGCUUGGUAAGUCCGCUGUGAAAGUCCAGGGCUCAACCCUGGAAAGCCGGUGGAAACUGUCAAGCUUGAGUCCGGAAGAGGCGAGUGGAAUUCCUGGUGUAGCGGUGGAAUGCGCAGAUAUCAGGAGGAACACCAAUAGCGAAGGCAGCUCGCUGGGACGUUACUGACACUGAGGCGCGAAAGCGUGGGGAGCGAACAGG